GUCACCUCUAGAGCUGAGGAGGGGAUUGAACCUCUGCCGGGGGGGUGUGGCUCUGGUGUGCUGGCAGCUACUGCGCUGACUUCUCUUCCCCUUCUCCCCUCCCACCUUUGUGCUCCAGACAUCUCCGACAUCGGCUCUGAGCAGUCCCACCCGCCCUCUGCACGGAGCAGCCAGCCGGCCCCAGAGGCCACCAGGACAAACUCGCUCUCGGAGGGGAGACGGCCCAGCAGGGAGAGGCUGGACACGAUUCAGAACGAUGCUCCAGUCCCAGAUCCCUCGGAGCCUGCUGAGAACAGCGUCUCCUCCUGCCCCCCGGCAGCCAGAGCCGGGGCGGGGG